GGCGGGCGGCGGCGACGCGCGCUACUCGGGCGCCGGGGCUGUCCUCACCGAGUCAGGUACCUGAAGUAGCGCGCGUUGCGGCCGCCC
rnacentral:pre_miRNA from 11 species